AACCCUCAGCCACUGGGAUACUCCUUGUGCUCGCUGUGCAUAUCUCUAUUCGAACUAGUGAACACAUCUGGUGGUAUCUCAGUGGCCGGGCUGAG
rnacentral:pre_miRNA from 1 species